rnacentral:rRNA from 1 species
AGAGUUUGAUCAUGGCUCAGAAUGAACGCUGGCGGCGUGCUUAACACAUGCAAGUCGAACGGUAACAGGUCUUUCGGGAUGCUGACGAGUGGCGCACGGGUGAGUAAUAUAUAGGUAAUGUGCCCCUUAGUCCGGGAUAGCCACUGGAAACGGUGAUUAAUACCGGAUAUUCCUUCCGAUCGAAAGGUCAGUCGGGAAAGGUUUUUCGCUAAGGGAUCAGCCUAUAUCGCAUCAGUUAGUUGGUGAGGUAACGGCUCACCAAGACAAUGACGCGUAGCGGGUUUGAGAGGAUGAUCCGCCACACUGGUACUGAGACACGGACCAGACUCCUACGGGAGGCAGCAGUGAGGAAUAUUGCACAAUGGGGGAAACCCUGAUGCAGCAACGCCGCGUGGAGGAUGACGCAUUUCGGUGUGUAAACUCCUUUUAUCAGAGAAGAACAUGACGG